GAAAUGCGAUAAGUAAUGUGAAUUGCAGAAUUCAGUGAAUCAUCGAAUCUUUGAACGCACCUUGCGCUCCUUGGUAUUCCGAGGAGCAUGCCUGUUUGAGUGUCAUUAAUAUAUAUAUCAACCCUCUCUUUGUUGAGUGGUUUGGAUGUGGGGGUUUGCUGGCCUCUUAAAUGGUUCAGCUCCCCUGAAAUGCAUUAGCAGAACAACCCUGUUCAUUGGUGUGAUAACUAUCUACGCUAUUGAAUGUGAAGGGAAGUUCAGCUUUCUAACUGUCUUUGGACAAUUCAUCAUUAAUGUGACCUCAAAUCAGGUAGGACUACCCGCUGAACUUAA
rnacentral:misc_RNA from 1 species